rnacentral:rRNA from 1 species
GCCUGGGGAGUACGGCCGCAAGGUUAAAACUCAAAUGAAUUGACGGGGGCCCGCACAAGCGGUGGAGCAUGUGGUUUAAUUCGAUGCAACGCGAAGAACCUUACCUGGUCUUGACAUCCACGGAAGUUUUCAGAGAUGAGAAUGUGCCUUCGGGAACCGUGAGACAGGUGCUGCAUGGCUGUCGUCAGCUCGUGUUGUGAAAUGUUGGGUUAAGUCCCGCAACGAGCGCAACCCUUAUCCUUUGUUGCCAGCGGUCCGGCCGGGAACUCAAAGGAGACUGCCAGUGAUAAACUGGAGGAAGGUGGGGAUGACGUCAAGUCAUCAUGGCCCUUACGACCAGGGCUACACACGUGCUACAAUGGCGCAUACAAAGAGAAGCGACCUCGCGAGAGCAAGCGGACCUCAUAAAGUGCGUCGUAGUCCGGAUUGGAGUCUGCAACUCGACUCCAUGAAGUCGGAAUCGCUAGUAAUCGUGGAUCAGAAUGCCACGGUGAAUACGUUCCCGGGCCUUGUACACACCGCCCGUCACACCAUGGGAGUGGGUUGCAAAAGAAGUAGGUAGCUUAACCUUCGGGAGGGCGCUUACCACUUUGUGAUUCAUGACUGGGGUGAAGUCGUAACAAGGUAACCGUAGGGGAACCUGCGGUUGGA